CAAUUUUUUAUGUUGCUAUGUUUGGGUUUCAGGCAUAGUAAGCAAAUUGUUUUCUCCGACUCCUAAUUCUCCUUCAGGAUUGUUUAUAAAACAAAGACCAGAGAGUAUUGUGAUAUAUAAAGAUGUGGAUGGUGGUACAACAAAUAAUACGUGCAAGGCAAAUAAAAGCAACUAACUGAGAAUUGGAUGUUCACUUGGCAUUGUACAGCAGAAAGAGUGGGCAACUGAAAUCAGCAGCCCCAUUUGAACUUGUGCAACCAUAUAUGAAGAGGUAGCAUCCCCAUUCGAACUUCUGCAGCCACAUAUGAAGAGGAGGAAGACACAAUUUUCAUGUGAUAUAUGUUGAUCAAGAUUGGUAUGAUUUGGGUGACUCCAACCGUGAAGGAAGUGUUAGGCUGGAAAUGGGCAUUACUUGGGAGCUG